rnacentral:rRNA from 1 species
UUUGCGUCGAAGGUAUACCGGUAAGGAGUGCUGGAGCGAAUAGAAGUGAGCAUGCAGGCAUGAGUAGCGAUAAUUAAUGUGAGAAUCAUUAACGCCGUAAACCCAAGGUUUCCUACGCGAUGCUCGUCAUCGUAGGGUUAGUCGGGUCCUAAGUCGAGUCCGAAAGGGGUAGACGAUGGCAAAUUGGUUAAUAUUCCAAUACCAACAUUAGUGUGCGAUGGAAGGACGCUUAGGGCUAAGGGGGCUAGCGGAUGGAAGUGCUAGUCUAAGGUCGUAGGAGGUUAUACAGGCAAAUCCGUAUAACAAUACUCCGAGAACUGAAAGGCUUUUUGAAGUCUUCGGAUGGAUAGAAGAACCCCUGAUGCCGUCGAGCCAAGAAAAGUUUCUAAGUUUAGCUAAUGUUGCCCGUACCGUAAACCGACACAGGUGGGUGGGAUGAGUAUUCUAAGGCGCGUGGAAGAACUCUCUUUAAGGAACUCUGCAAAAUAGCACCGUAUCUUCGGUAUAAGGUGUGGUUAGCUUUGUAUUAGGAUUUACUCCGAAAGCAAGGAAACUUACAACAAAGAGUCCCUCCCG